rnacentral:rRNA from 1 species
AUACGGAGGGUCCAAGCGUUAUCCGGAUUCAUAGGGUUUAAAGGGUCCGCAGGCGGGAAAAUAAGUCAGUGGUGAAAGCCUACAGCUCAACUGUAGAACUGCCAUUGAUACUGUUUUUCUUGAGUAUAGAUGAAGUGGGCGGAAUAUAUCAUGUAGCGGUGAAAUGCAUAGAUAUGAUAUAGAACACCGAUUGCGAAGGCAGCUCACUAAACUAUUACUGACGCUCAGGGACGAAAGCGUGGGGAGCGAACAGGAUUAGAAACCCUAGUAGUCC